AAUAGAUACCCGGGUAGUCCACGCCGUAAACGAUGAGUGCUAAGUGUUAGGGGGUUUCCGCCCCUUAGUGCUGCAGCUAACGCAUUAAGCACUCCGCCUGGGGAGUACGGUCGCAAGACUGAAACUCAAAGGAAUUGACGGGGGCCCGCACAAGCGGUGGAGCAUGUGGUUUAAUUCGAAGCAACGCGAAGAACCUUACCAGGUCUUGACAUCCCAUUGACCGCUAUGGAGACAUAGCUUUCCCUUCGGGGACAGUGGUGACAGGUGGUGCAUGGUUGUCGUCAGCUCGUGUCGUGAGAUGUUGGGUUAAGUCCCGCAACGAGCGCAACCCUUGUUCUUAGUUGCCAUCAUUUAGUUGGGCACUCUAAGGAGACUGCCGGUGACAAACCGGAGGAAGGUGGGGAUGACGUCAAAUCAUCAUGCCCCUUAUGACCUGGGCUACACACGUGCUACAAUGGACGGUACAAACGGUUGCCAACCCGCGAGGGGAGCUAAUCCGAUAAACCGUUCUCAGUUCGGAUUGUAGGCUGCAACUCGCCUAC
rnacentral:rRNA from 1 species